GGGGAUUUAGCUCAGUGGUAGAGCACUUGCCUAGCAACCACAAGGCCCUGGGUUCGGUCCCCAGCUCCG
rfam:Rattus norvegicus chromosome 5, whole genome shotgun sequence.